rnacentral:rRNA from 1 species
GAUUAACGCUAGCGGCAGGCCUAAUACAUGCAAGUUGUACGGGAUUAUUGGUAGCAAUACUGAUAUGAGAGUAGCGCACGGGUGCGUAACACGUAUGCAACCUACCUUUAACUGGGGAAUAGCCUUCCGAAAGGAAGAUUAAUACCGCAUAACAUUGCGAAACGACAUCGUUUUGCAAUUAAACCUACGGGGGUUAGAGAUGGGCAUGCGUCCGAUUAGCUAGUUGGCGGGGAAUAGCCCACCAAGGCAACGAUCGGUAGGGGGUCUGAGAGGAUGAUCCCCCACACUGGUACUGAGACACGGACCAGACUCCGUACGGGAGGCAGCAGUAAGGAAUAUUGGACAAUGGGGGCGAACCCUGAUCCAGCCAUGCCGCGUGAAGGAUGAAGGCCCUA